GGUCAAGAAGAGAAGCGCAAACGGUGGAUGCCUUGGCAGUAAGAGGCGAAGAAGGACGUGGAAUCCUGCGAAAAGCUAUGGGGAGCUGGAAACGAGCGUUGAGCCAUAGAUGUCCGAAUGGGGGAACCCGGCUGCAGCGAUGCGGUCAUUUGCAUUUGAAUACAUAGGAUGCAAAGGCGAACUCGGGGAACUGAAACAUCUAAGUACCCGAAGGAAAAGAAAUCAAGAGAGAUUCUCCAAGUAGCGGCGAGCGAACGGGGAGGAGCCUGGCGUGAUUUAUUAUUGAACUGAGUAGAACAAUUUGGGAAAGUUGGCGAUAGAGGGUGAAAGCCCCGUAUACGAAGGUUUGAUGAGGAACUAGGCACGCGAACAAGUAGGCCGGGACACGUGAAAUCCUGGUUGAAGAUGGGUGGACCAUCAUCCAAGGCUAAAUACUACUUACUGACCGAUAGUGAACCAGUACCGUGAGGGAAAGGUGAAAAGAACCCCGGAGAGGGGAGUGAAAUAGAAUCUGAAACCGUUUGCGUACAAGCAGUGGGAGCAUGGUUUAGGCUGUGUGACUGCGUACCUUUUGUAUAAUGGGUCAGCGAGUUACUUUCAGUGGCGAGGUUAACUGCAUAAGGGAGCCGUAGAGAAAUCGAGUCUGAAUAGGGCGAUAGUCGCUGGGAGUAGACCCGAAACCGGGCGAUCUAGCCAUGUGCAGGAUGAAGGUUGGGUAACACCAACUGGAGGUCCGAACCGGGUAAUGUUGAAAAAUUAUCGGAUGACGUGUGGCUAGGAGUGAAAGGCUAAUCAAGCCCGGAGAUAGCUGGUUCUCCCCGAAAGCUAUUUAGGUAGCGCCUCGUGAAUGAUUACUGGGGGUAGAGCACUGUUUCGGCUAGGGGGCUGUCAUGGCUUACCAAACCGAUGCAAACUCCGAAUACCGGCUAAUUGAAUCACGGGAGACACACGGCGGGUGCUAACGUCCGUCGUGGAGAGGGAAACAACCCAGACCGCCAGCUAAGGUCCCCAAGUACUAGUUAAGUGGGAAACGAUGUGGGAAGGCAUAGACAGCCAGGAGGUUGGCUUAGAAGCAGCCACCCUUUAAAGAAAGCGUAAUAGCUCACUGGUCGAGUCGGCCUGCGCGGAAGAUGUAACGGGGCUAAAACUAGUCACCGAAGCUGCGGAUGUGCGCGAAGGCGCACGUGGUAGGGGAGCGUUCUGUAGGCUGAUGAAGGUGCAUUGAGAAGUGUGCUGGAGGUAUCAGAAGUGCGAAUGCUGACAUGAGUAACGAUAAUGUGGGUGAAAAGCCCACACGCCGGAAGUCCCAGGUUUCCUGCACGACGUUAAUCGGAGCAGGGUGAGUCGGCCCCUAAGGCGAGGCUGAAGAGCGUAGUCGAUGGGAACCAGGUUAAUAUUCCUGGACUUUUUAUAAGUGGUGAAGUGGGGACGAAGAAGGCUAGGUGAGCCAGGCGUUGGUUGUCCUGGUACUUGCAUGUAGGGGGGAAGACUUGGCAAAUCCGGUUUUCCAUAACUCUGAGGUGCGAAGUGGUUCUGACCUUUUGGUACAGAGAAGUCAUUGAUGCCCGGCUUCCAGGAAAAGCUGCUAGCCAUAACUUAUAGAGAACCGUACCGCAAACCGACACAGGUGGACAGGUAGAGAAUACUAAGGCGCUUGAGAGAACUCGGGUGAAGGAACUAGGCAAAAUGGUACCGUAACUUCGGGAGAAGGUACGCCCUUUCUGGUGAUGGGAUUUACUUUCAGAGCUGGAGAGGGCCGCAGAGACCAGGUGGCUGCGACUGUUUAUUAAAAACACAGCACUCUGCAAAUUCGUAAGAAGACGUAUAGGGUGUGACGCCUGCCCGGUGCCGGA
rnacentral:rRNA from 1 species